rnacentral:rRNA from 1 species
GGUGCCAGCAGCCGCGGUAAUUCCAGCUCCAAUAGUGUAUAUUAAUGUUCCUGCAGUUAUUCGAUGCUCGUAGUUGGAUUUCUGGAGGCUGAGACAGGAAGGCAGCCAAGGUUGUCGCCAGUCUCNNNNNUCAUCCACCUGUUAACGUUGUCCGGGAUUCAUUUCUCGGCUUCGGGCUCAGGUAUUUUACCCUUUCUAUAUAUUCAUUUAUUUACUUUUUGAGCAAAUUAUAGUGUUUCAGGCAGGCGUGCGCCGGAAUACAUUAGCAUGGAAUAAUCGAACAGGACCGUGUAUUCAUUAUUUGAAUUCUUCCUUAUUUGUUGGUUCUAAGGACACGGAAAUGGUUAAUAGGGAUAGUAAUUNUCAGNGGAGGCAUUAGUAUUUAAUUUCCAGAGGCGA